CCUACGGGAGGCAGCAGGAGCGAAAAUUGCCCAAUCCCGACACGGGGAGGCAGUGACGAGAAAUAACAACUCUUGGUUAUUCUAAGAAGUGUAAUGAGGAUAAUUUAAAACCCUUACCGAAAGCAAUUGGAGGGCAAGUCUGGUGCCAGCAGCCGCGGUAAUUCCAGCUCCAAUAGCGUAUAUUAAAGUUGUUGCAGUUAAAAAGCUCGUAGUUGAAGUUCUGGCUGCUUGACCCUCGAGCUCUGUAGCCGAGGGCUCAGCAGUCAUCCGCUUGCAAACAUAUGUUCGCCUUUAACCGGGCGACUAUGUGAGUAAGCAUUUUACCUUGAGAAAAACAGAGUGUUCCAGGCAGGUUUGUCCGGAAUGCAUUAGCAUGGAAUAAUAGAAUAUGACUGAAGUCGAUUUAUUGGUUUGAGGCUUUAGUAAUGAUUAAUAGGAACAGUCGGGGGUCAUUGGUACUUGACAGUCAGAGGUGAAAUUCUAGGAUUUGUCAAAGACUAACAAAUGAGAAGANAUNCAGAUNUUNUAUAUANAGAAGAAGUAGGAG
rnacentral:rRNA from 1 species